GUCGAGAAUCUUCGGCAAUGGGCGCAAGCCUGACCGAGCGACGCCGCGUGGAGGAUGAAGGCCUUCGGGUUGUAAACUCCUGUCGAGGGGGAGGAAGGCGCAAGCUUGACCGAUCCCUGGAGGAAGCACGGGCUAAGUUCGUGCCAGCAGCCGCGGUAAGACGAACCGUGCGAACGUUAUUCGGAAUCACUGGGCUUAAAGCGCGUGUAGGCGGAUGGGAACGUCGGUCACUGAAAGCCCCCGGCUCAACCGGGGAAGUGGUGCCGAAACGACCUGUCUGGAGGGACGUAGGGGGACCUGGAACUUCCGGUGGAGCGGUGAAAUGCGUUGAGAUCGGAAGGAACGCCCGUGGCGAAAGCGAGGUCCUGGACGUCUGCUGACGCUGAGACGCGAAAGCUAGGGGAGCAAACGGGAUUAGAUACCCUUGUAGUCC
rnacentral:rRNA from 1 species